GGGAAACGCCAAGGCGGCCGCGUCCGCCGUACCAACCGCA
rfam:Cereal yellow dwarf virus-RPS RPV Mex-1, complete genome.